rnacentral:lncRNA from 1 species
GGCCUUUCUAGGAGCCAGCUUGCUUUCAUCUUACUGUUUUGAUUGUGCCUCACAAGGGACAACACUCCGAUUGUCUAGGAGGAGGAAGGUCAGGGACAGAAAAGUAAAAGCCAGGAGCAGCCUGUCCUGUCUGCCUGGGCUGCUGGGGAAUGAUUGUCAGUGAAUCGAGUUGUCUGUGGAGCCCCUGAGCAAAUUCUCCCAGUGGCAGCAGAUCUCGCAAAAGGGGAGGAAGGCCUUCACCGCUGAACCCGAGCUUUGCCAUUUCGAAGUGCUGAGUCACCUCGUCCUCUCAGGGUCAGACACUUUCACGCAGGAAACGUCCUGCAGAGCACCGCAGCGGGAGCACCGAGCUGAUGUGGAAACUCAGAGAGGAUGCCACUGUUUUGAACUAUUUUGAAGGCACAGCCACCAGAGCUUUAGGUCAGAAGAGGUCCUUGGAACUGGAAUUACAGGUGGCUGUGAGCCUCCAGGUAGGUGCUGAGAAUCAAGCAGCCUGGCUCCUCUGUAGGAGCUCUAAGGAAUGCUCUUACCUGCUGAGCCAUCUGUCCAGCCCUGAUUGUCCUGGCUGUUAAUUGAGGAAGGAAGACUUACUCUGAGGGAGGGCUGAGCCAGUCCCCAGGCUGCUCCCUGAAUGGUAUGUAGAGGAGGGGAGCCAGCUAAGCACUGACCAGCGAGGGUGUGCACAUUUUCUUUGGUCUUUGUUUUGAAUGUGGUGUGGCUGGCUGCUUCAAUUCCUGACUUGAUUUCCUCAAAAGGAUAGGCUGUAACCCAGAAUGGUAAACUGCCUU